rnacentral:rRNA from 1 species
CCUACGGGAGGCAGCAGUGGGGGAUAUUGCACAAUGGGGGGAACCCUGAUGCAGCGACGCCGCGUGGGUGAAGAAGCGCCUCGGCGCGUAAAGCCCUGUCAGCAGGGAAGAAAAUGACGGUACCUGAAGAAGAAGCCCCGGCUAACUACGUGCCAGCAGCCGCGGUAAUACGUAGGGGGCAAGCGUUAUCCGGAUUUACUGGGUGUAAAGGGGGCGCAGACGGCGCUUCAAGCCAGGAGUGAAAGCCCGGGGCCCAACCCCGGGACUGCUCUUGGAACUGCGUGGCUGGAGUGCAGGAGGGGCAGGCGGAAUUCCUGGUGUAGCGGUGGAAUGCGUAGAUAUCAGGAGGAACACCAGUGGCGAAGGCGGCCUGCUGGACUGCAACUGACGUUGAGGCCCGAAAGCGUGGGGAGCAAACAGGAUUAGAUACCCUUGUAGUC